UACGUAGGGGGCAAGCGUUGUCCGGAAUCACUGGGCGUAAAGGGUGCGUAGGCGGGUCUUUAAGUCAGGGGUGAAAUCCUGGAGCUCAACUCCAGAACUGCCCUUGAUACUGAGGAUCUUGAGUUCGGGAGAGGUGAGUGGAACUGCGAGUGUAGAGGUGAAAUUCGUAGAUAUUCGCAAGAACACCAGUGGCGAAGGCGGCUCACUGGCCCGAUACUGACGCUGAGGCACGAAAGCGUGGGGAGCAAACAGG
rnacentral:rRNA from 1 species